CCAGACUCCUACGGGAGGCAGCAGUGGGGAAUAUUGCACAAUGGGGGAAACCCUGAUGCAGCAACGCCGCGUGAGUGAGGAAGUAUUUUGGUAUGUAAAGCUCUAUCAGCAGGGAAUAGAAAAGAAGGUACCUGAAAAAGAAGCCCCGGCUAACUACGUGCCAGCAGCCGCGGUAAUACGUAGGGGGCAAGCGUUAUCCGGAUUUACUGGGUGUAAAGGGAGCGUAGACGGAAAGGCAAGUCAGAAGUGAAAGCCCAAGGCUCAACCAUGGGACUGCUUUUGAAACUGUCAAACUAGAGUACGGGAGAGGUAAGAGGAAUUCCUAGUGUAGCGGUGAAAUGCGUAGAUAUUAGGAGGAACACCAGUGGCGAAGGCGUCUUACUGGACCGAAACUGACGUUGAGGCUCGAAAGCGUGGGGAGCAAACAGGAUUAGAUACCCCUGUAUC
rnacentral:rRNA from 1 species